AUGGAUUACUACAAUAAAAGGGAUUUGGGACUGUUUUGUGGACUGUUUUGUAUGUAUGUGUUCUAGUCUACCAGGCUGAUGUUGGAGAAAGGUGAGACUAAUUCAAAUUGAAAUAUAGAAGAAAGGUGUGGUGGUACACCACCGAACUAGCUAUUGCAUUUGUUACUGGCGCAAUCUGUUUUGCGUAUUAUUUGGAAUAGGUAAUGAAACUGAAGUGGUUUCUUUGAAUCUUAUAAGAACAUUUAUGGUUUGUAGGUGUAAUUAGAGGAGAAAAAAGGUUAAGAUAACACUCUUGAUUGAUAGAGUAAAGGCUUACUACCCAAUUGUUGUUUUGGUGAAGUUAAAUAGCCAAACGUUAUGGUUGUUUGCUAAUAUUAGUUUGUCAUAUAUUUCAUUGUAGAUAAGUAAUCUAAAAGGGCAAGAAGUCGAGUUGGGAUGGUAAUGGAGUUGUACAACCAGGCAUAGGUACUUCAACUCAUACACUUCACUAGUAGGAGAGCAGGCUUUUCAGUGACUAUUGGUGAGCUCUAGGUUGAUUCGAGGCUUUCUGAGUCUGUUCCAUAUAUUUUGGUAUUAUGCAGUGAGUCAAGAUUAGGGAGGGGGUUUGUCCCGACCCUAACUAAGUCUAUGUAUAUUUUAGAGGCUUUGUAGACUAAUGUAAAGUUAUGGUAGUGUUUUUCUUUAGACGUGGUGGCCCUAACGUCCAAGUGUUAUAUAUAUAAGUUUGUGCUUGCC